UACGUAGGGCGCAAGCGUUGUCCGGAAUUAUUGGGCGUAAAGAGCUCGUAGGUGGUGUGUCGCGUCUGCCGUGAAAGCCCGGGGCUUAACUCCGGGUCUGCGGUGGAUACGGGCAGACUAGAGGCAGGUAGGGGAGAACGGAAUUCCCGGUGUAGCGGUGAAAUGCGUAGAGAUCGGGAAGAACACCGGUGGCGAAAGCGCUCUGCUGGACCACAACUGACACUCACAGGACGAAAGCUAGGGGAGCGAAUGGG
rnacentral:rRNA from 1 species